UUGGGAUAGCUCAGUGUAGAGGCAGGAGAAGGAU
rnacentral:tRNA from 1 species